GCUGUCCUCUACUGUCACCGCUGGAUAGUGCAAAGGAGCAGGAGCAGACUUGUAUGGCCUCGUGCAGAUGAAGUGAUUUUUCUUCCAAGGCAAGGCCCAGCUUGACAGUCUUGAUCCUACCUCCAGACACCGUUAUGGUCGAUAGAUGUUUCAGAAGUAUUUUGUUCACUAACAAAGGGCAUCUCACCUUGGAGCCCACAUUUUCUUCCUCGGGAAUGAAGUACACAGAGGUUGCAGCAUGCAGUACUUGAGACAUCUCAGGAAGUAGAAUAGCAGAGACUCACCGGCUGGGAUCUACAAGGCUAUGUCUCAUGCACUACUCUACUUCUGGACUGAGGAACAGAGCUGUCUAUCAUCACUAUCAACUGAGAAUUUCCAGGAACUUGAUUUGAGGAUGCUUGGAUCCUUCUGUCCCUGAGCUGGUCACCUGUGCCUGACAAGACAACCAGAGAAUCUCAGCUACCAGAGGAGAGCAGACUCUUCAGGCAGUCAUGGGGCAGCACUUUCCAAUAGGCAGGAGGCUCCAGCUGACCACCACAAAUGCUUGAUUGAAUUCUGUGCCAGAAGUUCUUGCAGAGCCACUACCAAGACAGAUAUAGACAAGGACACAUAGGUCUCAUAGGGUCAAAGUAUGGUAAGAGCUCACUGUAAUAGUUCACUAGCUGCAGUCCAUUAUACCUGGAAUGUCUUACAAAUCUCCAUUCCUAUGUUCUGUUUUCAAGUAUUUUCUAAGUAGACUCUAUCCUCUGCCCCUUACAGAUGCAAUGCAACCCCUACUCUCUGUCUUCUAAAGUGUCUGCCUUCUUCUCCCAGACAUUCUCCUCUGUCUGUUUUCCAGUACAGGGAUCGUGUCUGUAUGUACUUGUUGUAUUGUGGGAAAGAUAAAGAAGGAAAAGAGGAGAAACCCAAUGAAACACAGUUUCUAAGCCCAUCUGCAUCCAGAACAGACUACUGACAUCUUGUCAUGCCCACCCAGCUUGUUCUUGACAUCUGCCAUGUAAUUCCCUUACACAAGGAUAUACCAGGUAUGUCUACCCUAGAAACAUAUCCUGCUUCUCCUUGCAGGUGAAGUGACAGGCUCUUCCUGUGAUUUUACCUGGGUCACAUCCAGUUUUUCUCCUAAAACUCUCCCCCGCCCCUAUUGCACUAAAACCCAGUGAUAAUAUGGUGCACAUUGCCAAAUGCUUCUGGAGGAUUUUCUCCUCUAUUUUGAGGUCACUGCCUUCAGAACCAUGUCUGGGCCCUGUCAGUGCCACAUGUUCUCUAGAGUCUUAGACCAAAGAAUUGUCUGCAGUUGGCACAAAGUAAUACUGUACUUACUUUAACUGGUUAUCCAUCUAUUAGCACACUUUAAAGGAAUAGAUUUCCUUGGGUUUUUUUUUUUUUAUCUUUAUAACAUACAUUUACAAAGUGAUAAGCAUUUUAAUAUUCAAUGACUUCUCUUCCAUAAGCAUUUCACCCACAGGAUAAACACAGUAGUAUUUUCACCAUUUUAUUUGCAUAAUUGAUUUAGUGGCUAACAAAUAAACGGUACUAUGAGCAAAC
rnacentral:lncRNA from 1 species